rnacentral:rRNA from 1 species
GACGAACGCUGGCGGCGUGCCUAAUACAUGCAAGUCGAGCGGUCUGCGCCUUGCGAGCUUGCUUGCGGGGAGCAGAUAGCGGCGAACGGGUGAGUAACACGUGGGCAACCUGCCCCUCAGACUGGAAUAACUCUGGGAAACUGGAGCUAAUGCCGGAUAAUCUUUCUUUUCGCAUGGGAAGGGAGUAAAAGGGGGAACCCGCUGAGGGAUGGGCCCGCGGCGCAUUAGCUAGUUGGUAGGGUAACGGCCUACCAAGGCGACGAUGCGUAGCCGACCU